UGGCCCUGGGCGCGGGAGGCAGCGCGCCCACUCCCUGCAGCGCGAAACUACAGCUGAGCUGGGUCACUAGUGCGAGAGGAAUCGUCCCAGCCCAGUGACAAAAGUGGAGCAAGUGGACACCCAGACACAGCGUGGAGAAGAGAAGGAAGGUUAGUCUGUGACAGUCUCUCCUGCUCAGCGAUCACAGGCAGGUGACUAGCAGGGCCUAUCAGGUGAUCCCGGAAUGCGACCCAGAAGGCGGGCACUGUGCAAUGGACUAAGCUGCAGUUUGGAUGCCCACAUCCCAUUUCAGAGGGCAGGCUCAAGUCCUGGCUGCCGUGCUUCCAAUCCAGUUUCCUACUAGGGUAUCCUUGGAGGCAGCAGAUGAUGGCUUCAUGGCUUGGACCCCUGUCACCCAUGUGGAGACCUGGAUGGAGUUCCUGGCACCUACAUUCAGCCUGGCCCAGCUCUGACGGUUGUGGGCAUUUGGGGAGUGAACCAGCAGAUGGAAGAUACCCCCCUCUCACUCCCCCAUCCCUCUCUCAUUCUGCUGUUCCAGCAGACAAAAAUAAACAGAUAGGCCACCACUCCUACUCUGGCACCCUGGCAGGGCACACCAUCCUACUGGGAAAAGGGUUCUAUGUAUAAGAUAUGAGAACUGAGGGGACUGACUAAAGGAACAUUUCAGUAAAGAAAUGAUGACAGGGACCGGUGCUGUGGCAUAGGAGGUAAAGCCGCUGCCUGUGACACCGGCAUCCCAUGUCUCAACUGCUCCACUUCCAAUCCAGCUCCCUGCUAAUGCACCUGGGAAAGCAGAAGAUGGUCCAAGUCCUUGGGCCCUUGCACACAUAUGAGAGACCUGGAAGAAGCUCCUGGUUCCUGGCUUUGGAUUAGCCCAGCUCCAGCUGUUGCAGUCAUUUGGGGAGUGAAACAACUGAUCGAAAAUCUCUCUUCCC